rnacentral:rRNA from 1 species
AGUGAACGCUGGCGGUAGGCCUAACACAUGCAAGUCGAACGGCAGCACAGUAAGAGCUUGCUCUUACGGGUGGCGAGUGGCGGACGGGUGAGGAAUACAUCGGAAUCUACUUUUUCGUGGGGGAUAACGUAGGGAAACUUACGCUAAUACCGCAUACGACCUACGGGUGAAAGCAGGGGAUCUUCGGACCUUGCGCGAUUGAAUGAGCCGAUGUCGGAUUAGCUAGUUGGCGGGGUAAAGGCCCACCAAGGCGACGAUCCGUAGCUGGUCUGAGAGGAUGGUCAGCGACACUGGAACUGAGACACGGUCCAGACUCCUACGGGAGGCAGCAGUGGGGAAUAUUGGACAAUGGGCGCAAGCCUGAUCCAGCCAUACCGCGUGGGUGAAGAAGGCCUUCGGGUUGUAAAGCCCUUUUGUGGGGAAAGAAAAGCAGCAGGUUAAUACCCCGCUGUUCUGACGGUACCCAAAGAAUAAGCACCGGCUAACUUCGUG